rnacentral:rRNA from 1 species
UACGAAGGGGGCUAGCGUUGCUCGGAAUCACUGGGCGUAAAGGGUGCGUAGGCGGGUCUUUAAGUCAGGGGUGAAAUCCUGGAGCUCAACUCCAGAACUGCCUUUGAUACUGAAGAUCUUGAGUUCGGGAGAGGUGAGUGGAACUGCGAGUGUAGAGGUGAAAUUCGUAGAUAUUCGCAAGAACACCAGUGGCGAAGGCGGCUCACUGGCCCGAUACUGACGCUGAUGCACGAAAGCGUGGGGAGCAACAGG